rnacentral:rRNA from 1 species
UACGUAGGGUGCGAGCGUUAAUCGGAAUUACUGGGCGUAAAGCGUGCGCAGGCGGUUUGUUAAGUCUGAUGUGAAAGCCCCGGGCUCAACCUGGGAACUGCAUUGGAAACUGGCAAGCUCGAGUAUGGCAGAGGGGGGUGGAAUUCCGCGUGUAGCAGUGAAAUGCGUAGAGAUGCGGAGGAACACCGAUGGCGAAGGCAGCCCCCUGGGACGGUACCGACGCUGAGACGCGAAAGCGUGGGGAGCGAACAGG